rnacentral:rRNA from 1 species
UACAGAGGUGGCAAGCGUUGUUCGGAAUUACUGGCGUAAAGGGCGCGUAGGCGGCCUUCUAAGUCAGACGUGAAAUCCCCAGGCUUAACUUGGGAACUGCGUCUGAUACUGGGAGGCUUGAGUGCGGGAGAGGGAUGUGGAAUUCCAGGUGUAGCGGUGAAAUGCGUAGAUAUCUGGAGGAAUACCGGUGGCGAAGGCGGCAUCCUGGACCAUUACUGACGCUGAGGCGCGAAAGCUAGGGGAGCAACGGG